AUGAUAAAUUACAUUAAGCUAAUAUAUAGUGAUACCCUAAAUCAAGCCCAAGUAAAAAAUAAAACUUUAGUGGUAAAAAUAAGUUGCUUCAUAUUCAUAGUCACGUCAUCAACAGAGCUCAGGGUUUAAGGAAAUACUGCAUAAAGCUGAUAUUCAUGCGCUAUUUAGAGUUCAUGUAAAAAUAAAACAAAAUCUUUAUGUGAUAAAAUUAAUUAAAAUCCAUGGAGAGCAAAAUCUCCUUAAUUUGAAUUAUAGAUUGUUCAACAAUCGAUUAUUUUUCAAAUAUUAAUCAAGUUUUUGUCAUAAUCAAAAAAGGAAGAAUAAUUAUUUUUAUUGAGGAAAUUGGGAUUUAAGGCAUAAU
rnacentral:misc_RNA from 1 species